rnacentral:tRNA from 1 species
AUUUGUUUAGUUUAAAAUUUAAAACUUUCAUUUUGAAAAUGAUAAAUAAUUUUUUUAACAAAUU